GACGAACGCUGGCGGCGUGCUUAACACAUGCAAGUCGAACGGUGAAGCGCCUUCCUUUUUGGUGGGUGUGGAUGAGUGGCGAACGGGUGAGUAACACGUGAGUAACCUGCCCCCUUCUUCUGGAUAACCGCAUGAAAGUGUGGCUAAUACGGGAUAUUCUGGGUCUGUCGCAUGAUGGGUCUGGGAAAGAUAUUGUUUCGGUGGGGGAUGGGCUCGCGGCCUAUCAGCUUGUUGGUGGGGUGAUGGCCUACCAAGGCGGUGACGGGUAGCCGGCCUGAGAGGGUGGACGGUCACACUGGGAAUGAGACACGGCCAAGACUCCUACGAGAGGCAGCAGUGGGGAAUAUUGCACAAUGGGCGCAAGCCUGAUGCAGCGACGCCGCGUGAGGGAUGGAGGCCUUCGGGUUGUGAACCUCUUUCGCCAGUGAAGCAGGCCUGCCUCGUUUGUGGGUGGGUUGACGGUAGCUGGAUAAGAAGCGCCGGCUAACUACGUG
rnacentral:rRNA from 1 species